rnacentral:rRNA from 1 species
GACGAACGCUGGCGGCGUGCCUAACACAUGCAAGUUGAGCGACGAACCAGGGCUUGCCCUGGGGCAAAGCAGCGCACGGGUGAGUAACACGUGGGUAACCUGCCCCGAUGACCGGGACAACCCGAGUAAACUCGGGCUAAUACCGGAUGUGUCCCCUGGACCCAAGUCCAGUGGGCAAAGGAAGCUUCGGCCUCCACAUUGGGCGGGGCCAGCGGCCCAUUAGCUUGUUGGUGAGGUAAGAGCUCGCCAAGGCAACGAUAGGUAGCUGGUCUGAGAGGACGAUCAGGCACACUGGGACUGAGACACGGCCCAGACUCCUACGGGAGGCAGCAGUGGGGAAUCUUGCGCAAUGCGCGAAAGCGUGACGCAGCAACGCCGCGUGGGGGAAGAAGGCCUUCGGGUUGUAAACCCCUUUCAGGAGGGACGAAGGUGCGGCCGUGAACAGCGGUCCGCACUGACGGUACUUCCAGAAGAGGCCCCGGCUAACUACGUGCCAGCAGCCGCCGUAA